rnacentral:rRNA from 1 species
CCUACGGGAGGCAGCAGUGGGGAAUAUUGGACAAUGGGCGAAAGCCUGAUCCAGCCAUGCCGCGUGUGUGAAGAAGGCCUUCGGGUUGUAAAGCACUUUCAGUGGGGAAGAAAGCCUUGGGGCCAAUACCCUCGAGGAAGGACAUCACCCACAGAAGAAGCACCGGCUAACUCCGUGCCAGCAGCCGCGGUAAUACGGAGGGUGCGAGCGUUAAUCGGAAUUACUGGGCGUAAAGCGCGCGUAGGCGGUCUGAUAAGCCGGUUGUGAAAGCCCCGGGCUCAACCUGGGAACGGCAUCCGGAACUGUCAGGCUAGAGUGCAGGAGAGGAAGGUAGAAUUCCCGGUGUAGCGGUGAAAUGCGUAGAGAUCGGGAGGAAUACCAGUGGCGAAGGCGGCCUUCUGGACUGACACUGACGCUGAGGUGCGAAAGCGUGGGUAGUAAACAGGAUUAGAUACCCUGGUAGUC